GAUGAACGCUGGCGGCGUGCCUAAUACAUGCAAGUCGAGCGAACGGACGAGAAGCUUGCUUCUCUGAUGGUAGCGGCGGACGGGUGAGUAACACGUGGAUAACCUACCUAUAAGACUGGGAUAACUUCGGGAAACCGGAGCUAAUACCGGAUAAUAUUUUGAACCGCAGGGUUCAAAAGUGAAAGGCGGUCUUGCUGUCACUAAUAGAUGGUUCCGCGCUGCAUUAGCUAGUUGGUAAGGUAACGGCUUACCAAGGCAACGAUGCAUAGCCGACCUGAGAGGGUGAUCGGCCACACUGGAACUGAGACACGGUCCAGACUCCUACGGGAGGCAGCAGUAGGGAAUCUUCCGCAAUGGGCGAAAGCCUGACGGAGCAACGCCGCGUGAGUGAUGAAGGUCUUCGGAUCGUAAAACUCUGUUAUUAGGGAAGAACAUAUGUGUAAGUAACUGUGCACAUCUUGACGGUACCUAAUCAGAAAGCCACGGCUAACUACGUG
rnacentral:rRNA from 1 species